AUAAGUCAAACGGGAAACUAAUUUAACCACUCGACGAACAAUUGAAAGCAUAUUCGUCGUUUAUUCCAAACAAAAGAACGUAAACUCUUCGUAAAAAUCGGUAGGAGAUCCCGGAUUCCUCGGUAACGAGGGCAUAGAAGGAAAGAUCAACAGAAAUGCGAUCAAUAAAAGAGUUGGAGAACACAUAAAGGAAUUUGAAAAGCAAUUUUCGUUCUAUUUUACAGCAGAAUAUUACAUCUUAAGUAGGACAAGGAAACGGAGCAAACAAAAAUGCUUGCGACAAUGUUAACAUAGAGCAUGCCCAUCAAUUACCAAUAUAAUACUUUCACAAUCGUGAACGUUAUAGGAAAAAAAAGAUGGAAAUGAAGUAAAAAAGAAAGAAUAGCUCCCUCGGGCUGUACUUAACUCAACCAAAGGAAGAGGAAGAGGAAAAGGAAAAAAAAACAAGACUUUUACGAAAAAAAGCGAACAAUUACAAUAGAUUCGUAAAGCAAUGGAGCCGGUAAUUCGGAAUGAGAGAUUGUACGAGUUCCGUUAUCGGGAAAUUUGUUCAUUUUUCCCGAUUAAAGAAAAAAGAGAGAGGCUUCUCACAAUGGCGAUAAAAAGGAAAGCGGAAAGAAAAACAGGGGGCAGGUGAGAAUCAGAAGGGGUUAAAGUAGCGAACAACGAUGUUAGAACUAUCCAGCAGACGUGGACGGUCUGUGUGCUCCGGCCGCGGAGGCUGCGCGGAAAAAUCGAUAGCCAACGCCAACCGACGGCGUCGUCGUCGACGGCGGCGGCGACGGUAACGGUAGCCUGUGGUGGCGGUGGUGGUAGUGGUAGUGGUAGUGGUGGUAGUGGUGGUGGUGGUGGUGGUUGCGAGUAGCGCGAUAGAGUCCGAUGGUGCAGUCAACGUUGGGACCGGUAGCCCAAAAGACACACGCGGAUCUCACGCGUUCUCUUCACACCCCUCUCGUCGAGCACCCCCUUCUGACACCUCUUACAUCUUCGAACGGUCGUACGGCCCUGAAAGAACGUGGCGUGAUUCGAACUACAUAUUUUCUCUCUCUCUCUCUCUCUCUCUCUCUUUCUCUCUUUCUCUCUCCUUCUUAGGACACGCUCCAAGUUCGCAGGCAAGCGAACACGUAGGAGCCGUAUACAUCGGCCAUGGUGCUCGUUUACCGGGCCGAGUGGUGGGUGUGUGAUAAAAAUAUAAUGCUGGUGACGCGCGUGACACGAUACAACGCGAUAUGACAGUUCCUUUGGUUCUUUCGUCGUCGUACCCCUGCCGUGUAUGGAUUCGCGUGUGACCAGACGAUAAACGGAAUGUUGUGACGCGUGACACCGCCGCGCACCGGUCCGCACACGGCGUUUCAAUGCUCAGGGACGUUGCCACUGUUCCUUCGCCUCCUCUUCUCUCGCGCACAUCCCAGCAUGGAUGAUAAAUGCUCGAGUGAACGGUAAAUGCCAUCCCGGGACCCGAAUUUAUCGAUUUUCGUACACACGCGUAUUAUUUGAUCGGUAUAUGUGAUUUAUUCUACGUUCUACGGAUAAAUCGGUGUGCUCGUUUUCGGUGUAACGUUUUCGUUGUUCACCAGGAUUUUCCAUUUCCACACCGUGUCACGGGUUCUCGCGGAAAUAUGACGCUACCGCUACGCGCCUUUUUGAGGACAAUGACCCCGUGCACCUUGCUUUCUUUCUAGUGUGUCAGACGUUCGUUGCUGAUUUUAACGUUUUACUUUUUCACUUAUCUCUUUUUUUUUUUCGUUCCAUUUGUUCGAACAAUGGAACAUUUCCUCCUCAAGUUUAUUUUCGAAUAUUUCGAUUAUACUCGGAACUCGAAACGAAUAAUUUUCAUUUUGUCAACGUACACGUUAUACGAUUUCGCAUUUAGUACGGUGCGUGUAUGGAAAAAUUAUACGUGUAUCUUCCUUAUACGUGUAAUUGUACCGUGACAUUUAGAACAAGAACUUUAUGUGAUACUUUCAACAAUGCCACACGGUAUACGACACUAAAGUCAUUAGUAACGUUUCAACUAGAUCGAAUGUGGUUUUUGCGGUACUUCAAUUUCAGUGGGUACAUGUAUAUAGCGUUAUUUAUAGUUUGCAAUUUGUCGCGUUAAAACUAAAUCUCUCUUUAAACAUAUACAAUGAUGCGUGUUUAUAGACGUACCGUUGAAAUAACACCACGUUCGUUUUGUUUUUUCUUUCGAUUGUUUGCUUUGCAUAAUUGCUAGUGCAAUCUAUAAGCAGACAAGAAAUACCGAGAUAAUUUUUUUAUCCAACAAUCUUUACCAGGUAUUUCGUCUUUCUUUUCUUUUUUCUUUUUUUUUUUCACAACGUAAUAUCGUCGUAUCUGAACGUAAAAUUGAUUAUUUUUCUCCCGCAAUUUUAUUUCAUCUUGUGAAAUCUAACACGUAUAUGCCACCUACGUUUCCCUAUUGUGAUUUCCCUUCUCUCGUCGCACGAGCAUAUUAAUCAGUGUUGUGGUUUACUACAAUGCAUUCCAACAUGCAUAACACUGAAAUAUUCUCCUUUAUGUUCUCCCCUUCUUCCAUCAUUCUUUUACUCUGUGUCACUUCUCUGCCUCAAGAGCAAUCCUCUACUCUUGUCGAGUCUACUCCAGCGUAUCCCUGUGUACAGGCUAACGUAAGAAUGAAAGGUUAAAAGCAUUACGAGUCGUGCAGCUCUGCUCGACGAAGGUACGCAAGUAAAUCGCAUGCUUGUAAAAUUUGGAGGAUUAUCGAUCGAACAUAUUUGUACCAAAAGGAUAAUCAAUGCUAAGCGGACUAGUGAAAUUUAAAAUGAAAUUGGAAAAACAAGAACAGAGUUAAGUCCGUGUAGCACAAGCGUUGGUGAUCCCCUGCCAACGAGUGAGAUUCUCCCGCAGAGCAAUAAAGUGCAGCUUUUUAUUUUCCACUUUUUAGGACGAGCAUUCAAAGUGGAAAAAGAUUGUGUCGGACUAAUCCGCGAUUUCUGUAUGGCGGUAAAAAAAAAAAAA
rnacentral:lncRNA from 1 species